rnacentral:lncRNA from 1 species
CUCUUCGAAAACCCAAAAACCAUUUAUUUGAUUUUUUUUUUUACCCAUCUAAAUGUGAAAGAUAAAUACUAAUUUUUUUUUUAAAAUUAAAAAUCAUGCUAAACAUAAAAUUAUGCGCGAAAGCGCGUACAGCUACAUAGUAUUUUAUAAAUAACAAGACUACCCCUACUCUUUCACAUGCCACAACUUAAAUUGUAAAAACCAAAACCUAUGCCGGUGUCGGAGUCCGCUGACUUGAAAACCUUAAAUCCCUAAUAGAUCCAAUUAAAGAUUUGAAGGACAACACUUCUCUCUUUCUCAUCACAAUUCCUUCAAUUGUUAUUCAACAAACCAAUUGAAAAUAAGCUUGGUUUCAAUUCAACCCCACAUCCAUAGAUAGAUUUGAAGAAGAUGGAAGUUUCGAAUAUUUCACCAAAUCAACAACAAUCACCUGUUACAGAGACGAAACAGAGGAUCCCAUUCCCAGGUACACAUAAUCUUCUAAUUCGCAUCCUCGAUCAACAGGUUGAUGAAAACUAAAAAUAUCUUGAGCAUUAAUGCACAGUCCCUCACUCACCUGAACCUUCAAUUGUGCAUUAACAUACCUUGUUUCUAAUAUAUAUAUACCGAAAAGAAAAGAAAUAACCAUAUCUAUGUUUCUGAUGUAACACAAACACGAAGUCCAGCAAGACUAAGACCAAAUUGAAUUGAAUCAUGUGAAUGCUUUUAAAUCUCCAAAUUGAAACAUGUGAAUGCUUGAAAAUUUUGAUACGAUGAUAUAUUUUAUCUAUAUAUUAUUAUGUAGCACAGUCACUUGACAACACCCAAUAGCUCAGAGUGAAAGAAAUCCCUCAAAUUUCCAAUCAUAACUUAAAAUUGAUUCGAAUUAGCCAACAAAAAUAACAUUGCCACCAUCUACCUUCAAUUUGUUGGAUAAAAUUUUAUCGAUAUAGAAGAAUUAUUGCAACUCCCAAUGGAUCAGCCGUGACUCAGUUUCACUCUCCUUGACUCAGUUUUUUGAGUUAUGCAUUUAGAUAAUUUUGAAGUUUUAAAUUAAAUGGGUGAAUAACAUGUGGUAAGAAAUUUAGGUUUAUGUAAAU